GGUGAUAGAAAUUAAAUUAAAGAUUAAAUUAUUCUAAAUUUUGAAACCAUGUGCUAUGUUAACAUGUAAAACAAAACUAUUUGACCACCCAGGUGUAAAAGGUUGCUUGUAAAUAAAUGGUCUUGUAUACAUGUAUUUGCUGUUUAGAGAGGUUCCAGAACUAUUUUUUGUGUCAAAGUCCUGUUACUUCUGUAGAGAACUGGUACUUAUCGCCUCAGAUUGUUAUCAUAUACAUGUACAUUCAUAUUUUACAAUCUUUUGAUAAAGGAUGGAAAAUGAAUAGAAUUUUUAAAGAUAAAAUGUACAGUAUAUAAAUUACUUUUGUAAAAGUAGUAAAUUUAUAAGAUCAAAUCCAUCGUGAAAGAUUUUAACAUGAUGAUACAUCUUUAAAAAAAACAAAGUCUGUUGUUUGUUAAAAUCAUGUUAUUUACCUCUCUACACAUAAAUUGAGAAUGUUUCCCU
rnacentral:misc_RNA from 1 species